GUUGAGAUGUAAAAUAAUCAACAAAACACUUGCAUACUACCAUAUAUGUAUUGUUUUGAGAGGAUUGUAUAUUUAUAUGCAUGAAUCUUGAUGUUUUAUUCCUUUUCUUAAUUGCAAUUCGUUGCAAUUUAGUAAGGAGAAUCUCAAAUCUACUUGUUUCACAUGAUAAAUUUUGUGUACAAUGCAUAUUUCAUCUCUGCAAGCAGUAUAUAUGAAUAGAUAGUAGCAUGAGAUUCUAAGGUUAGUCGCCUAUCUGACGACGCUAAAGUCGUAUUGCAGAUAACUAUGGUGAUCAACUAACCUGUUAAAUGAUGAAUCUUCUUGCACUUGUAUCACAAUCAUACAAAUAGUAGCUAUUUCAUUCUGUUAAAGCAGACCUAAGAAGUAAUGCAAAGGCAAAAUUUGUGCAAACUUUAAAGUAGAUUUACGUUGCUUGCUUGCAAACAACACAAAUAUACAUUAAUCAACUUAAUCAAUAUUUUU
rnacentral:rRNA from 1 species